GCAGUCUUGGUGUCCGAGUUUUUAAGUUUGACAUUUCGUUUUACAGAAUUUUUGUUGUUGAAAAUCAUACAAGUGUUUUAACUUGCCACCUUUUUUUUGUUUUUUGGGCGUGUAAAUUUUGAGAUUAACAUGUGCAACUUUUGUGGUUGUUACAAUGCCAGCAUAAAUAAAUUUUGUAAAAUUUGACAAUUUUGCAAUUGUAUUGUUAUUAGGG
rnacentral:lncRNA from 1 species